ACUCAGAUGAACUUCGGGAGGUCUGGGAUGCAGGCUUCAAACUUGUAGUCUCUUAGAAGCGGAGUGGUUCCAUUCUACCUUCUGGAUG